rnacentral:rRNA from 1 species
CCUACGGGAGGCAGCAGUGGGGAAUAUUGCACAAUGGGGGGAACCCUGAUGCAGCGACGCCGCGUGGGUGAAGGAGUAUUUCGGUAUGUAAAGCCCUAUCAGCAGGGAAGAACAAUGACGGUACCUGACUAAGAAGCACCGGCUAAAUACGUGCCAGCAGCCGCGGUAAUACGUAUGGUGCAAGCGUUAUCCGGAUUUACUGGGUGUAAAGGGAGCGCAGGCGGCGCGUUAAGCCUGGUGUGAAAGCCCGCGGCCCAACCGCGGGACUGCAUUGGGAACUGGCGCGCUGGAGUGCCGGAGGGGUAGGCGGAAUUCCUAGUGUAGCGGUGAAAUGCGUAGAUAUUAGAAGGAACACCAAUAGCGUAGGCAGGUUACUGGGACGGUUCUGACACUAAGGCACGAAAGCGUAGGGAGCAAACGGGAUUAGAUACCCCAGUAGUC